UAUAGAGACAAGGAAAUGAACUCCUUCAUUCCAGGUUGCUGGUUAGGGACCACCCUCAAUCGCUGGAUAUGUUUUGCAUGCUAGGAAGAAUAAGAACAACAUUUAAAUAAAAGCAGAGACAUGUGGAGAGGUAACCCAGUGAAGAGAUGGACUUGGAACAUGGAAGACCUGUAUCUUAGCCUGUUUUGCUUUGCUAUAAAGGAAUACCUGAAGCUGGUAAUGUAUAAAGAAAAGAGGUUUGUCUCAUGGAUCUGCAGGCUGUACAGAAGGCACAUCAACAGCACCUGCUUCUGUCAAGGACCCAGGAAGCUUCCACUCAUGGCAGAAAUCCAUGAAUUCCGGCAACCAGUUUGAAGACUCACACAGAGGAAUGGAAUCAGCAUG
rnacentral:lncRNA from 1 species